AUCUUCUAGCCAACAGCAGGAGGUUCGCAUAUUUGUUUUUGUAUUAUUAUUAUUAUCCAUCCUCUUCUUUUAUUUAUUUCAUGUUUUAAAGUGGCUUUACCAUAUAAUAGUCUUCAUUUUGACAUCAAAAUUUGAAGUUUCCCAAUGAGAAGGCACUUUCUAAUGUCAGUCAAAAUUCAAUUUCCACAUAUGGUCAAGAUUUCAGUUCCAAUCUAAAAGUCUGAUUUGUAUGCUUUUAAAUUCCAGGAUUCUGAUAAUCAAGAUGAU
rnacentral:misc_RNA from 1 species